rnacentral:rRNA from 1 species
AUGAACGCUGACAGAAUGCUUAACACAUGCAAGUCAUUGGCGAAGCUGCGCUUGCGCAGUCUAGCCAAGGCGGACGGGUGAGUAACGCGUAAGGAACUUGCCCUGCAGACAGGGAUAACAGACGGAAACGACUGAUAACACCUGGUAUUGUCAGGCUGGCGCAUGCCGGCCUGAUGAAAGGAGACGCUGCAGGAGAGCCUUGCGUCCUAUUAGCUAGUUGGUGGGGUAACGGCCCACCAAGGCGAUGAUAGGUAGCCGGCCUGAGAGGGUGAACGGCCACAAGGGGACUGAGAUACGGCCCUUACUCCUACGGGAGGCGGCAGUGGGGAAUAUUGAACAAUGGGGGCAACCCUGAUCCAGCAAUUCUGUGUGCACGAAGAAGGUUUUCGGAUUGUAAAGUGCUUUCAGCAGGGAAGAAGAAAGUGACGGUACCUGCAGAAGAAGCGACGGCUAAAUACGUG